rnacentral:rRNA from 1 species
UACGUAGGAGGCAAGCGUUGUCCGGAAUCACUGGGCGUAAAGCGCGUGUAGGUGGUGGGACAAGUCUGCUGUGAAAGCGCCUGGCUUAACCGGGCGAGGUCGGCGGAAACUGUUCGACUCGAGGACGGUAGAGGGGGGUGGAAUUCCCGGUGUAGUGGUGAAAUGCGUAGAGAUCGGGAGGAACACCUGUGGCGAAGGCGGCCCCCUGGGCCGGCCCUGACACUGAGACGCGAAGGCGUGGGGAGCGAACGGG